CGGGCCGCACAAGCGGUGGAGCAUGUUGGUUUAAUUCGAAGCAACGCGAAGAACCUUACCAGGUCUUGACAUCCCGAUGCUAUUUCUAGAGAUAGAAAGUUACUUCGGUACAUCGGUGACAGGUGGUGCAUGGUUGUCGUCAGCUCGUGUCGUGAGAUGUUGGGUUAAGUCCCGCAACGAGCGCAACCCCUAUUGUUAGUUGCCAUCAUUCAGUUGGGCACUCUAGCGAGACUGCCGGUAAUAACCGGAGGAAGUGGGGAUGACGUCAAAUCAUCAUGCCCCUUAUGACCUGGGCUACACACGUGCUACAAUGGUUGGUACAACGAGUUGCGAGUCGGUGACGGCGAGCUAAUCUCUUAAAGCCAAUCUCAGUUCGGAUUGUAGGCUGCAACUCGCCUACAUGAAGUCGGAAUCGCUAGUAAUCGCGGAUCAGCACGCCGCGGUGAAUACGUUCCCGGGCCUU
rnacentral:rRNA from 1 species